rnacentral:rRNA from 1 species
GAGUUUAUCUUGGCUCAGAUUGAACGCUGGCGGCAUGCCUUACACAUGCAAGUCGAACGGCAGCACGGGAGCUUGCUCCUGGUGGCGAGUGGCGAACGGGUGAGUAAUGCAUCGGAACGUAUCCUGGAGUGGGGGAUAACGUAGCGAAAGUUACGCUAAUACCGCAUAUUCUGUGAGCAGGAAAGCGGGGGACCUUCGGGCCUCGCGCUCUUGGAGCGGCCGAUGUCGGAUUAGCUAGUUGGUGAGGUAAAGGCUCACCAAGGCGACGAUCCGUAGCAGGUCUGAGAGGAUGAUCUGCCACACUGGAACUGAGACACGGUCCAGACUCCUACGGGAGGCAGCAGUGGGGAAUUUUGGACAAUGGGGGCAACCCUGAUCCAGCCAUGCCGCGUGAGUGAAGAAGGCCUCGGUUGUAAGU